rnacentral:tRNA from 1 species
GGGAGUGUAGCUCAGUUGUUGAGCACUUGCUUCACAUGUAAGAGGCGCUGGGUUCCAUCCCCAGCACCA